CUUUACUGUAGCAUAUUAUUGGGUUUAGGUAUGCCUUGUGUAGAAUAGGUGGGAGGCUUCGAGGGAGGGGCGCCAGCUCCUCCAGAGCCGUCAGUGAAAUACCACUCUUUGUAUGCUUGGACUCUAACCGGGCGCCGUGAAACCGGGCCUGGGACAGUGGUAUGUGGGCAGUUUAACUGGGGCGGUUUCCUCCUAAAGAGUAACGGAGGAGCGCAAAGGUACCCUCAGCACGGUUGGCAAUCGUGCGCAGAGCGCAAAGGUAGAAGGGUGCUUGACUGCGAGUCUCACCAGACGAGCAGAUGCGAAAGCAGGCCUUAGUGAUCCGGUGGUUGCGCGUGGAAGCGCCAUCGCUCAACGGAUAAAAGGUA
rnacentral:rRNA from 1 species